AGGGAAUAUUGCGCAAUGGGCGAAAGCCUGACGCAGCAAUACCGCGUGGGGGAGGAAGGUCUUCGGAUUGUAAACCCCUGUAAGAGUGGAAAAACGAGCAGUAUUCGAACAGGGUAUUGCUUUGAUGGUACACUCAGAGUAAGCACCGGCUAACUUCGUGCCAGCAGCCGCGGUAAUACGAAGGGUGCAAGCGUUGCUCGGAUUUAUUGGGCGUAAAGCGCACGUAGGCGGACUGAUAAGUCAGAUGUGAAAUCUCAUGGCUUAACCAUGAAACAGCGUCUGAAACUGUCGAUCUUGAAUAUUGGAGGGGGAAGGGGAAUUUCGCAUGUAGGGGUAAAAUCCGUAGAUAUGCGAAGGAACACCGGAGGCGAGAGCGCCUUCCUAGACAAUUAUUGACGCUGAGGUGCGAAAGCGUGGGGAGCAAAC
rnacentral:rRNA from 1 species